rnacentral:rRNA from 1 species
UACGGAAGGCAGCAGUGGGGAAUAUUGCACAAUGGGCGAAAGCCUGAUGCAGCUAUGCCGCGUGUAUGAAGAAGGCCUUAGGGUUGUAAAGUACUUUCAUCGGGGAGGAAAAAACAAAACUAAUAAUUUUAUUUCUUGACGUUACCCGAAAAAGAAGCACCGGCUAACUCCGUGCCAGCAGCCGCGGUAAUACGGAGGGUGCUAGCGUUAAUCAGAAUUACUGGGCGUAAAGAGCACGUAGGUGGUUUUUUUAAGUUCAGAUGUGAAAUCCCUGGGCUUAACCUGGAACUGCAUUUUGAAACUGAAAUACUAGAGUAUCGUAGAGGGAGGUAGAAUUCUAGGUGUAGCGGUGAAAUGCGUAGAUAUCUGGAGGAAUACCUGUGGCGAAAGCGGCCUCCUAAACGAAUACUGACACUGAGGUGCGAAAGCGUGGGGAGCAAACAGGGAUUAGAUACC